rnacentral:rRNA from 1 species
GCUCCUGGCUCAGGAUGAACGCUAGCUACAGGCUUAACACAUGCAAGUCGAGGGGCAGCAUGAACUUAGCUUGCUAAGUUUGAUGGCGACCGGCGCACGGGUGAGUAACACGUAUCCAACCUGCCGAUGACUCGGGGAUAGCCUUUCGAAAGAAAGAUUAAUACCCGAUGGCAUAAUUCUUCCGCAUGGUAGAACUAUUAAAGAAUUUCGGUCAUCGAUGGGGAUGCGUUCCAUUAGG